rnacentral:misc_RNA from 1 species
GCAAACUUGGUCAUUUAGAGGAAGUAAAAGUCGUAACAAGGUUUCCGUAGGUAAGUAGAAACUUUCCAUCUUACACCCCCUAUAGCCCCAUUGAAUAAUGUGCUGACUUUUCUCCUCUAGGUGAACCUGCGGAAGGAUCAUUAUCGAGUGUAACCUACCCCAUAAAAAAGGGUGGUACCUCCCGUCCUUUGCAGGCCCCCCUUUUGAUGGGGGGCUUUUUAAGACUUUCUGCUUCGGCGGGGUUACUCCCGCCGGAACACCCUCAAAAAACUCUUGAUCGAAAACCGUUCAGUCCGAGAAUUUUUGAAAAUUAAAAAAAAACUUUCAACAACGGAUCUCUUGGUUCUGGCAUCGAUGAAGAACGCAGC